CACUGAUGGGAUGAUUUUCCCAAAACGUCGCAGUGAACUGGUCCUCAAAGUCAAUCACUGUUUUAUCCAUAAGCUUUAUUACUGGUCCUCAAGCCAUAAUGGGAAGGGAGAUUUAUUAAUGCUCAGGGCAUGCUGUAAUUUUGUGUUGUGUUAAAUGUGGUACAUGUUUCAAACAACUGGGGCAUUAGAUUACACCAAAAAGCAAAAUCCGUUGAUAGAAAUAACAGUAUUAAAAGAAUGUGUGCCAGUGACGACAACAACAAGACUGUUUCAUUUGUUUCAUCCAUCAUUUUUGGACCUAGGAACUGAUUUGAGUGGGAGUGGGAAGUCUGAUCAUUCCUGUGUAAAUGGUGUCUCCGGUGCAGGGGACAGCAAGAAGCCUCCACCAUGUGGGAAUGCAGCAGGAGCAGUUUGCCAAACACAUGAUAGCAAGAAAGGCCACAGACGUCUGGGUGGAACAGAACGACUGUGGUCUCUGCCAGAUGUCCCUCCAGAAACGUAACUCCUCCCACUCUAUAUUCCAGCAUAGCCUCCUGUGACCUCAACACAAUGCAUGACAUUCAUGAUAUCUCCUUACUGUGGACCUACAGUAUUCAUCUUGGUUUAGCCAAACAAGCCUCCACUGUACCCACAGAUACUUUGCUGUCACAUAAAAAGCUGGAAGUUGCUCUCGACAGGAGCGUCUGCUAAAUGAAUGUAAUGCAACGUUAAUGAGAAAGCUCCACGUAUGACAUUGGACUUGGGAAGACAUAAAGGUCAGAUGAAGCUGGAUCUGGAAAAUAUGGAAGUCUGGCGCAGUAGGGAUUACAGUCUAUAACGCAAAGGUUGCAAUGUUAAUUCCCAGAUGGGGCAAUGCUGUAAUACCCUUGAACAAGGUACUGACUCUGAAUCGCUUCAGUGAAUAUCCUA